GCCAGCGUCGCAUAAUCCGGUAGUGCGGUCGCCUCGAAAGCGACUGUCCGCAAGGACUUUCAGGUUCAAAUCCUGGCGCUGGCG
rnacentral:tRNA from 1 species